rnacentral:rRNA from 1 species
UACGUAGGGUGCGAGCGUUAAUCGGAAUUACUGGGCGUAAAGUGUGCGCAGGCGGCGCCGCAAGUCGCGUGUGAAAGCCCCGAGCUUAACUUGGGAAUUGCGCUCGAAACUAUGGUGCUGGAGUGUGGCAGAGGAAGGUGGAAUUCCACGUGUAGCGGUGAAAUGCGUAGAGAUGUGGAGGAACACCGAUGGCGAAGGCAGCCUUCUGGGCCAACACUGACGCUCAUGCACGAAAGCGUGGGGAGCAAACAGG